rnacentral:rRNA from 1 species
AGUGAACGCUGGCGGCAGGCCUAACACAUGCAAGUCGAACGGCAGCACAGAGGAGCUUGCUCCUUGGGUGGCGAGUGGCGGACGGGUGGAGGAAUACAUCGGAAUCUGCCUAGGUCGUGGGGGAUAAGACGUAGGGAAACUUACGCUAAUACCGCAUACGACCUACGGGUGAAAGCGGGGAUCGCAAGACCUCGCGCGAUUAGAUGAGCCGAUGUCCGAUUAGCUAGUUGGCGGGGUAAUGGCCCACCAAGGCGACGAUCGGUAGCUGGUCUGAGAGGAUGAUCAGCCACACUGGAACUGAGACACGGUCCAGACUCCUACGGGAGGCAGCAGUGGGGAAUAUUGGACAAUGGGCGCAAGCCUGAUCCAGCCAUGCCGCGUGGGUGAAGAAGGCC